AGAACCGCUUUGAAAUUCGGAUAAAGAAUGUAUCAUAUUUCUUCAGGACAGAUUUGGGCGUUGGGAGUCCGGAUGAAUGUGUUGUAGCAUCUGCAGCAGUGCUCGGAACUUAAGAUUUUGAAAUGUAAUUUGGACAUCGGAAUUGCACCCAGAUCCAUCGAC